rnacentral:rRNA from 1 species
GACGUAGGGUGCAAGCGUUGUCCGGAUUUACUGGGCGUAAAGAGCGCGUAGGCGGCUCGUUAAGUGUGAAGCUAAAUCUCUUGGCUCAACCAAGAACUAUUUCGCAUACUGGCGGGCUGGAGUGAUGCAGAGGUGGAUAGAAUUCCCGGUGUAGCGGUGAAAUGCGUUGAUAUCGGGAGGAAUACCCGUGGCGAAGGCGGUCCACUGGGCAUCA